CCUACGGGUGGCUGCAGUGAGGAAUAUUGGUCAAUGGACGCGAGCCUGAACCAGCCAAGUAGCGUGAAGGAUGACUGCCCUACGGGUUGUAAACUUCUUUUAUAAAGGAAUACAGUGAGGCACGUGUCCCUUUUUGUAUGUAUUUUAUGAAUAAGGAUCGGCUAACUCCGGGCCAGCAGCCGCGGUAAUACGGUGUUUCCGAGCGUUAUCCGGUGUUAUUGGGUUUAAAGGGAGCGUAGAUGGGUUGUUAAGUCAGUUGUGAAUGUUUGCGGCGCAACCGUAAAAUUGCAAUUGAUACUGGCAGCCUGGAGUACAGUUGAGGUAGGCGGAAUUCGUGGUGUAGCGGUGAAAUGCUUAGAUAUCACGAAGAACUCCGAUUGCGAAGGCAGCCUACUAAACUGCAACUGACAUUGAUGCUCGAAAGUGUGGGUAUCAAACAGGAUUAGAUACCCGUGUAGUC
rnacentral:rRNA from 1 species